GUCAAAUUUAUAAUUGCGGGCCCUAUGUAAUUUGCGGCGGUGCGGAGCGUAAUGUCCGUUCCGUUUCGACGGGAUUGAAACGACGACGAGUUGACGCGAUGCGCCAUCCGUACGAGAAAAACAAAAUUCAAUAAUACGAAACAUACUUAAUUGCACCGUCCGUAGGCACUAUAGACAUUGUUGUGGGUGUAAAGUUGAGCGUUUUACGAUACAUAGCGCGCGAUAUAAUUGACAUACAAUAAAAGUCACGACACAUCGUUGGAAUCAAGAACCGACGAGGACGUAGGCAGCACGAAAUGUAUGAAAUAGAUACGUGGUUUAAAUAUACCAAUUAGGUGACGAAUAAUUAACCACAAAUAAUAAUAAAUUAUCUACUUUUCACCUACCAGCGAAAUUCACAUCAAAUUAUAAAUGCAACGAAUGAAAUAAACGCGGUGUAGUAAUGUGCGACAUAAAAUAAAUAAGGACGAAAUUGAAGUUUUUUUUUAUACACAGUUACCAUGCCAAUAAUAACUUAAAAUUGCACACGCCUCUAUCAUUAUAUCCGUUGUCACGUAUUAUUAUAAUUUAACGAGACAUUAGUUACGCACCUACUGUAAUGAAAUCGUUUUUCGCAUUUGUUUAAAAUCCGAAGAAUUUAAUGUAAACAAUUUUACAUCGAAAUAUCGUACCUACUUUAGAUACUUAACGACAAUAAUUGUGUAUAGUUAUGUAUUAAUAAUCGAGGAUUGCUGACUUGGAAAAGCAUUUUACAAUAAACCAAACAACGGAAUGUAUCUGAAGGUUAAACGGUAGGAAUGGGCUGGCCAUGUUUGACGAGCGGGCGGAAGUCUUAUUUAUACUGAUAUACUGGUUAGAAACCUUAACGAAAAACGGCCGAGAGGUAGACUUCCGGCACGGUUAGUUUAGACAGAAUGACUGAGGAUGCAAAAGGAAUGGACGAUAGGACAACAAUGGAAAUGACAAGAAAUCGCGAUAGGCGGAGAGACUUGACAAAAUCGUGCAAAAGGCCUUAAAAGUCUGCUAUGUACAAAAAAAAAAAUAUAAUAAUCGAGUACUUUUAACGAGUUUAAAUAUUGAAACAUUUAUUAUAUAUUAUUUACUACGCAUUAUACGCGUUAUUGUAAAUCUGGCUACAACACGAUUGAGUAAAUUUGUCGGUGUAUCAAAGGAUGUAGAAAUAAAAAAGAAAACCUGACCUAUUGAGCGUAAAAAAACUCGGCGAUAUUGCCAUUUUAAAUUUUGAAUUAUAUUAUAUAAAUAAUACACGACGGACAAUGUAUUAUUAUUACGGAUAAAAUUAAUAUUUAUCGCUAUUGAUAACAUUUGUCGAUAAAGCCGGGCUCGGCUCACAGCUCGUUUACAUAAAAAAUAUAUUUUUAAUAUAUGUCCAAUAUACAUUGAAAAUGUUACACGUGAAUAUACAAAAUUUCGGCAACGUGAGUAUGGCAACGUCGCAAACAAAUAUUCUAUGCUCAAUCGUGCUGUACCGGUAAAUCUAAGCGUUUUAGAUUUCCGACGGGGGCAAAAAAAAACAAAACAAAAACAAAUGGCCCUUGAAUUUAUUGUAAAUUAUUGUUCGCACACCCCGGGGCUUUUCGGCUCGGUCCGCCAACUGCGCGCGGGUACAGCAGAGAGAAAAAUAAGCGGCCAGAGGGACAGACACCGGGAUAAACUCCAGGUGCGGUAUAUUUUAUUAUUAUAAUAUUGCGUGAGGAAUUCUCGCGGCGGCGGACUUAAAGUUUUAAUUAACGCGCGUCUCGGGGUACGCGGAGUUCCGAAAACCGGCGCGAAAUAUAAUAAUUCACGGACGUCAAAGGCUGAGUGCGGAAAUAACCGGUGCCUGUUCGUUUUAUACGUAUACAGUGAUAGUACACCGCAGUGAUAAUAAUAUUGUAUUAUAAUAUUCCGUAUAAACGCGAGCGCGUAUAUAAAUAUAUAUAUAGAGAGUGAGAGAGAGAGUGAGAGAGAGUGAGAGAGAGAGAGAGACAGAGAGAGCAAGCGUAAAAUAUACACGACAAAACGAAACUCGGAAACGAAUUAAAACCGCCGCCGCCGCCGCCGGAACGAGAACUUUCGCCCUCCGACCUCCCGCCGCAUCGUUAUAAUAUUAUUAUCAUUAUUAUUAUUAUUAUUAUUAUUAUUGUUAUUGUUAUUACCGCGUUUUUCCCGUACUUGCGCGUCCCUUGUACAGGGCGUUAUCGAGGAAAUCGCGUUUGAGAAUCCACGGCUCCUUCUGCGUAUAAUAACACCCCGAAAACAAUAACACCGUAACCGUAUAUACGAACCGCUCGUUUAAGAAACCUUCUUCCCCGCUCCCCUUUCUCUGAGACCUCUUUUUUCACUUUUCGAGUGUCGAUAAAAACCGUUUCUUUAAAUUCUCGAAAAUGGCUAAAAAAAAAAAAAAAAAUGAUUAUACUCUAGUGGUGGACUCAGAGUUGAAUUUUUUUUUUUUUUUUUGGGGAGAGGGAGUUUUCUAAAAGAAAAAACCAUUACAAAGCAAAAAAAAAAAGAAGCGAUACUGGGGAUGGGUGCAGUUACUGUUGUGGGCGGGAAGUUGAAAAGGUAGGACACAUACGAUUUUUUAUCUACAUCUGUAAGCACCGACAAACCAUUGUUAACUUAUUUUUAGAUUUAAGUAAGAUUUUUGGUAGAAAAUGUAUUCAUAAAUAGAUAAAAAAAAUUAAAACUAAAAAGAUAUUAUAUGUACAAUCAAUACGUUCAUCGCGCCCCUGCUUUUCUUCUUCGAAAAUCUUGUAAUAUUUAUGCGUUGAAUAAUUAAUUAUUUAUGGAAAUAAACACUUUUGUAUAGUUUAUAGUUUGGGAGGCCUCGGCCCCUGGGCCCCCUGAAUUCGCCAGAGCUCAACUCACUCAUGCAAUGACGUUUUACCUCAACGGCAUACUGGAGGAGGGGAAAAACAUUUUACACACAUCUCACGGUGCUUAUAUACCACCGAACUAUACAACAAUAUACGCGGAAUAGUCGGUUAUAUUUUUUCAGGAGAUUUCUGAAAUAAGUGAUUCAAUUAUGUUUCAUGUUUAUAAUAUUAAUUUUAAACAUUUCGGUACAAUAUAAAAUUGUGAACGUGUGUGGACGCAAGAUUGGACAAUAAAUUCGAUAAAAGUAAACAAUUGUAUCUUGUAUUGCUAUACAGUUCUAGAAAGUAUUGAGUAUUUUAUUUUACGAUAGUGUAAUUAUAGCGUAUCUCAAGGACGGAUCAAAGAUCUGUUUACGAAGGGGGCACUUAAAUUAGAGAAACGUCUAUUAUAUUGAAUUUUUAAUUGGGUAUUAAUUAAACCAUGUACACAUACAAAAUUAAUGAAAAAUAACUAUAAUAUAAAUUAUAAAAAAAUCAUACUAUACAGAUAGUGUUCUCAAUUGUGCGCAAUAUUAUUUAUUACAAAUAAAUUAUUUUUAUUUACUACAUCAU